UUUUAGUGGAGACAGGGUUUCACCAUGUUGGCCAGGAUGGUCUCGAUCUCUUGACCUCAUGAUCCACCCGCCUUGGCCUCCCAAAGUGCUGGGAUUACAGGCAUGAGCCACCACGCCCGGCCGGUUAUUGGACUUUUUACCAAAGGCCCACUUCUACCUUCAAGGGAAAUGGCUCCCUAGCAUUUGCUCCUAAAAGCAAAUGGUCUGUUCAGGCCUAAAAUUUCAAAUUGUGUUCAAUAGGCUACUUUUUACAGGACUCUGUUUUCCCUAGAAGACUGCAUGAAACAAUUUCCAGAAAAUGUAAACUCCAGUCUUCAUGGAUAAUUUCCUCCACCUACCUAAUUUGCACCAUCGAAACAAAGCUUUUUCUAAAACCGCUAAUCAGAAGGUCUUAUGUUGUUUUCUAUUCGACCAUAGCCUUUUAAAAUAACAGUUGAAAUGUCAAAGAAAUCCCAAGUUCACCGCAGGUGUUCCUGGACUGGGCUGUUAAGUCGUGACAGUCAACAUGAGAGGGCCAAGGAAGGCGGGAACCUAGGGCUCAGGCGGAGGGGCCAGGUCAGAUUCAGAAGAGCUGGGCGCUCUUUUUUGUAUGAGCCUGGGUCUUGCUCUCUUGCCGGGCUGGAGCACAGUGGCACAAUCACGGCUCACUGCAGCCUCGGACUCCUGAGCUCAAGCCCUCCUCCCAGCUCAGCCUCCUGAGUGGCUGGGACUACAGAUGCACCACCACACUCGGCUAAGUUGCUCUUUUGAUUUCCUCUCUGCAAUAUUGAAGCCGUUUUCAUCUGAAAUUGAUUCUGUUUGUCAAGGAAGACUAAAACCAAACAGAAAGUGCCUGAGUUCUGCUUCCUCCAAGCCUCUUGCCACAGCAGUCCCUGUUCAGCAGUCAGGGCCCACUCUCAGUUCCUUAUCCCCAACCUUUUGCUGCUGCUCUGCCCUCACCACCCAGCCGCCUCCCUUGCAGUUUCAACAGCUCCUGCUCAGAAAUGGAUUACACACACCAACAUACCAACAAACCAACAACAAUUAUUUCAGCCUGGCUGGUUCGUGAGAGGACAUAGCAAGAAGUCUGCAAGCCAGGAAGAGGCCCUCACCAGGAGAUGAAUCUGCCUGCAUCUUGAUCUUGAACCUCCCAGCCUCCAGAACUGUGAGAAAUAAAUGUUUGUUGAUUAAGGAAACAAAUAAAACAUAAUUACAAUACAAUCAAAUAUAUGAAAAAG
ensembl:lncRNA novel transcript